UGCACUGAAUGGUAUCUGCAUUUUGCAUUUUAUUCCUGUUGGGUGUUCAAAGGACAACGUGAUAUAAAUUCAGUAUCUAGUGUCAUUGGCUUUCUUAGUUUCAUGCAUGUUAAACUUGGCAUUUUUAUUACUGUAGUA